CCUUGAUGCUUUGCAAUUGUUUUAUUUGUGUUUCAAGGGCAGCUGAAGAUCCCCCAUCUGCAGGGGAUUCCAUGGAGGGGCCCAAAGUCAGCACAGCUUGUUCAGCACCAUCUAAUCCAAGGGUCCAUAAGGACAUGGAUAAUAUAACCAAGUGAUUAGGGGAGGAAAAGCCUUAAGGAGUCCACUCUGAAGACAUAACUCCACCUCUACACUGCAGCAAGCUCCACCGCUUCCUAGAGGGGUCAGACAAAAGCCACCAGCUUCGUAAGCUGCUGGGUGCCACAUGCCUGACCUGGGACGCGUGUCCAGGGGUGAUGCUGUGGUGACACCUCACUGCAGCGCAGGGACUCACCAGGCUGCCCUGCCCUGCUCAUUCACCAGCCCAUGUGGCCUUGGCUCCUUGGCACAGCAAGAACUCCAGAAUCUCCACCACCACCAGCCUGACAAUUCAGUGUUCUUCUUCAUGAGGACAUCUUGCAAAACCAAUGGCUCAGAUCCCAGCUAAGACCCAUAUCUGAC